rnacentral:piRNA from 1 species
CACACAGGAGAAAUGGGACCCCAAAGA